UUCAAAUGAAUUGACGGGGGCCCGCACAAGCGGUGGAGCAUGUGGUUUAAUUCGAUGCAACGCGAAGAACCUUACCUACUCUUGACAUCCACGGAACUUGCCAGAGAUGGCUUGGUGCCUUCGGGAACCGUGAGACAGGUGCUGCAUGGCUGUCGUCAGCUCGUGUUGUGAAAUGUUGGGUUAAGUCCCGCAACGAGCGCAACCCUUAUCCUUUUUUGUUGCCAGCGAUUCGGUCGGGAACUCAAAGGAGACUGCCAGUGAUAACUGAGGAAGGUGGGAUGACGUCAAGUCAUCAUGGCCCUUACGAGUAGGGCUACACACGUGCUACAAUGGCAUAUACAAAGAGAAGCGACCUCGCGAGAGCAAGCGGACCUCAUAAAGUAUGUCGUAGUCCGGAUUGGAGUCUGCAACUCGACUCCAUGAAGUCGGAAUCGCUAGUAAUCGUGGAUCAGAAUGCCACGGUGAAUACGUUCCCGGGCC
rnacentral:rRNA from 1 species